rnacentral:rRNA from 1 species
UGAGUCGACUCACUCCUCACUCGACUCCCUCACCGUAGACCACAAGCUCGUUCUCUCCUCCACCUACUCGUGCCGCACAGGAGCCGCUAGAGUAGGUAGGUAGGUAAUCUGAGAGCUCGACUUUGAGUUCGAGUGCCGCUUCGUCGACGCGAUUGCCGCGGUGGGCCUUCUGGUCCUCCCGACCUAGACCCGCCUUACCUCCGGUUCCUGCAGCGCGGCGAGUGGCGGCGGCGGGGGUGGCGCGGCCGGGGCCGGGGCCGGGGACGGGGACGGGGCCAAAGCGUCCGAUUCGGCGUCGGCGGCGGCGUCGGCGUGUGCGUCGGUGGCGGCUAGCGGAGGUACGGCGGCGGUGGCGUAGGCAAGCGCGUGGUAGUCGUGGUGGUGGUAGUGGUCGUGGUCGUCGUCGUCGUUGUCGUCGGCGGCCGACCCAGCCGCUUGGGACGGCGCGGGUACGGCCCUCCGCCGUACUCCGAGAGCAAGCUGGUCUACCACCCCUUCGGCGGGCCCCUCGUGGUGGGAGUGGUCGUGGUCGUGGGCGUAGUCGUAGUCGUAGUCGUGGGCGUGGUCGUAGUGGGAGGCCCGGGGUACGAGAUGCGGCGCGGCGGCGGGGUGCGACACCGCGGUGGCGGCCCGUCGUUACGCGAGCCGUACCCGCUGGAAUACGCGUUCUUCGCCCCGGCGGGCGCGUUCAUGCGCGGGCUGCCCUCGUACCGGGAGCGCGAGCGCGGGGAGAGGAGGCGGAGACCGCCGCGGCGCGGCGGGGGCGGAGGUCCGGUCGUCGUGCCGAAGAGGUAGUCGUCGGGGGGCAGGCUAGGGUUGCGGUUCGCAGCGCCGGCGGGGGGACCGAGGCCGUUCUUCUUCGUCAAGCUUCGUGAGCCCAGCACCCCGUAGAGGAAGUGAGGCGUGUAGGAGAGGCAGUUCCGGCCGCUCCUACAACGAAGUUUUUAUUACAGGAAGAGUGUCGUUCCUGGAGCGUGUCAAACGUAAGAAAGUCGUUUACCACGUUAUUCGUUACAUUGUGAAGCCGUCGGUCGAUGUAGACCACCUGACCACUGCAUGCUCCCAGCUAAACUCUAGUAGAGGGAUAGACCAAGUAAGGACGAACGUCUUCUACCACUGUGGGCAUCGUCCUGACCACCUAACUCACAACGUGAACGUCCUAGACUACCGGCCCAAGAACCACCUACACAUCGACCCGUCGAUUGCCGACGCUGUGGACAAGUCCAACAGCAUCGAUCAAAGUAUCGGCUUCCAUUUUUUAGUUUCGGGCGACUCGGUGCCUUCCAACUUGGCUACAGGCGUGGAGGUGUCUACCGGUGGAUACACGGUCGAGGUCACCGGUCGGGAGGGAGUCUCCCGUGUAGGUCGCGUAGUAGACUACUGAGGCCGUCGGGGUAGUUGGUGCCGCCCUACGGGAUGUUGGUGAGACCACCCGUCGUCGUGGUCGUCGUCGUGUACGGGGGACGCAUACGUAGGCCGCCGACCAGUGAGAGCCGCGUGGUAGUCUUGUUGUUGUCCGUACUGCGGCUGUACUUCUACUACAGCUUGAUUGUGGCGUACGAGUUCGGAAGCUUCUCUCGGGGUAAACAACCGACCCGACCUCUCCUCGACCAUGACGACAUUGCAGACGGCAGCUGGUCGUUACCGGCUGGACCAUCGAUCCUCCAAAUCCAAGAACGAGAGACCGUACGACAAAGAGGGAUUCAUUCUAAUUAAAUCGGCGGCAGACAUUACGACAUCGAGAGCGACAGUGAUUGCACUCAAAAAUAGAAGUACCAGUACAUGGACGACUCUAGAAGUGGAAGAUCCGAUCCGCAAACUAGCGAGGGAAGACACCUAGUACUUAAGAUCUUACGAAAAGUCAAAGUUUAGUUCUUGAGAUCGAACAAAUG